UACGAACCGUCCAAACGUUAUCCGGAAUUACUGGGCUUAAAGGGUGCGUAGGCGGCGUGGAAAGUUGGGUGUGAAAUCCCUCGGCUUAACCGAGGAACUGCGCCCAAAACUACCAUGCUUGAGGGAGAUAGAGGUGAGCGGAACUUAGGGUGGAGCGGUGAAAUGCGUUGAUAUCCUAAGGAACACCGGUGGCGAAAGCGGCUCACUGGAUCUUUUCUGACGCUGAGGCACGAAAGCUAGGGUAGCGAACGGG
rnacentral:rRNA from 1 species